rnacentral:lncRNA from 1 species
AUGAGGCGUUUCGGUCGUGAUACUCGGCAAAACACCGCUAUCGUGGGUUUCAGCACUUUUCCGAGAAUUUCCGUUGUCAUUUGCAUUGGUGUCUAUCAUCUUUUUUCAGGUGCUUUGGUUACAGGCACGAAUUCACGGUCGAAUUGGUGCAUGUGUAUGUUCCCGCCUAGGACUACAAGCCCUACAUCAGGACAACCCGCUUACCGCACCCCUCCCAACACUCGGAAUCUUCCAUACACCAUCACCUCCGAUAGAUCGCCAGGGACCUCACCACCUCCCAUGUCAAACAGAGAACUAUCAACGACGAAAACAAUGGAGUACAUGGGUUUGACCCCAGUUCCUCCCCAAAGAAACCUGAACCUGCCUCCCGGUAGCCAAUCCAAUAUUGACGCGUUGGUUGCCGUUGAGAUUUGCCUUUCAUGGAGAGUGAAUUUCUGGGAUUCUCCAUCAUCUUCUGGGACUUCAUUUGACGCUGUUUUCUCUGAGUGGGCAUUCUGAAACACAGUAAACACGUUGUUUUGUGAAUGAAACCAGAUAUUCUGAAUCUUUCAAAUCUCCACGAAGGAGGUUCUUCCCACAAUGUAGACGGAGGCUGGCAUCGCGGCAAUGUCAAGAAUAUUUGGUGUCUUAUGUAAAUUCAAACAUUUGUACAUCAACAACAUUUCAUUGAAUACAGAGUACAAAAUAUCUCAAAUAGAAGUGUUACAAAAUCAUAUUAAAAGAUGGCUUGCAAAAAUUAAGUUGCCGAAAUGGUUUACAAGAUUAAUGGUUUAACUAGUGUUCUUAAACACAUGUUGAACAGAACGCAGAAAAAGGCGAUAAAUUUGGCUGAAAAAUAAUAACAUUUACAUUUGCA